CACUCAUGGGGGUGUAGGAAACAGGUGGGCUUUUAGGAGGGGGUCUCAAAGACACUCAUGGGAGUGUAGGAAACAGGUGGGCUUUUAGGAGGGGGUCUCAAAGACACUCAUGGGGGUGUCAGCUGGAAGCUGAAAAGCAACAAGAAUCAGGGGCCUAAUAGACACCCACCAUAAGUGCCCACUAAAUCUGUCCCAGAAAAGGCAAACCAAACUAAAAACCCACCAACUUAUAAUAAAAACACUGGUGGAGCAAACCACAGAGGAGAACACUGGUGGAGCAAACCACAGAGGUAAACACUGGUGGAGCAAACCACAGAGGUAAACACUGGUGGAGCAAACCACAGAGGUAAACACUGGUGGAGCAAACCACAGAGGUAAACACUGGUGGAGCAAACCACAGAGGUAAACACUGGUGGAGCAAACCACAGAGGUAAACACUGGUGGAGCAAACCACAGAGGAGAACACUGGUGGAGCAAACCACAGAGGAAAACACUGGUGGAGCAAACCACAGAGGAGAACACUGGUGGAGCAAACCACAGAGGAGAACACUGGUGGAGCAAACCACAGAGGAGAACACUGGUGGAGCAAACCACAGAGGAGAACACUGGUGGAGCAAACCACAGAGGUAAACACUGGUGGAGCAAACCACAGAGGUAAACACUGGUGGAGCAAACCACAGAGGAGAACACUGGUGGAGCAAACCACAGAGGAGAACACUGGUGGAGCAAACCACAGAGGAGAACACUGGUGGAGCAAACCACAGAGGAGAACACUGGUGGAGCAAACCACAGAGGAGAACACUGGUGGAGCAAACCACAGAGGAGAACACUGGUGGAGCAAACCACAGAGGAGAACACUGGUGGAGCAAACCACAGAGGAGAACACUGGUGGAGCAAACCACAGAGGAGAACACUGGUGGAGCAAACCACAGAGGAGAACACUGGUGGAGCAAAC